GAUCAUGGCUCAGAUUGAACGCUGGCGGCAGGCUUAACACAUGCAAGUCGAACGGUAGCAGGAGAAAGCUUGCUUUCUUGCUGACGAGUGGCGGACGGGUGAGUAAUGCUUGGGAAUCUGGCUUAUGGAGGGGGAUAACGACGGGAAACUGUCGCUAAUACCGCGUAGAAUCGAGAGAUGAAAGUGCGGGACCGCAAGGCCGCAUGCCAUAGGAUGAGCCCAAGUGGGA
rnacentral:rRNA from 1 species